AUUGAACGCGGACGGCAGGCCUAACACAUGCAAGUCGAGCGGGGUUUUCGGACCUAGCGGCGGACGGGUGAGUAAUGCGUAGGAAGCUACCCGAUAGAGGGGGAUACCAGUUGGAAACGACUGUUAAUACCGCAUAAUGUCUACGGACCAAAGUGUGGGACCUUCGGGCCACAUGCUAUCGGAUGCGCCUACGUGGGAUUAGCUAGUUGGUGAGGUAAUGGCUCACCAAGGCGACGAUCCCUAGCUGGUUUGAGAGGAUGAUCAGCCACACUGGAACUGAGACACGGUCCAGACUCCUACGGGAGGCAGCAGUGGGGAAUAUUGGACAAUGGGCGCAAGCCUGAUCCAGCCAUGCCGCGUGUGUGAAGAAGGCCUUCGGGUUGUAAAGCACUUUCAGUAGGGAGGAAGCGUUGUGUGUUAAUAGUACACAGCGUUGACGUUACCUACAGAAGAAGCACCGGCUAACUCUGUGCCAGCCGCCGCGGUAAGAC
rnacentral:rRNA from 1 species